rnacentral:rRNA from 1 species
UACGUAGGUGGCCAGCGUUGUCCGGAUUUACUGGGCGUAAAGAGCGCGCAGGCGGUCGUUCAAGUCGCGUGUGAAAGCCCCCGGCUCAACUGGGGAGGGUCACGCGAUACUGAUCGACUCGAAGGCAGGAGAGGGUAGUGGAAUUCCCGGUGUAGUGGUGAAAUGCGUAGAUAUCGGGAGGAACACCAGUGGCGAAGGCGACUACCUGGCCUGUUUCUUGACGCUGAGGCGCGAAAGCUAGGGGAGCAAACGGG